GACGAGAGGAAGUGCAACUACGAGCGCUACCGGGGCCUCGUGCAGAACGACUUCGCCGGCAUCUCGGAGGAGCAGUGUCUCUACCAGAUCUACAUCGACGAGCUCUACGGGGGGCUGCAGAAGCCCAACGAGGAUGAGAA